UGCGUAGGCGGCCUGACAAGUCAGAAGUGAAAGGCUACGGCUCAACCGUGGUAAGCUUUUGAAACUGUCAGGCUUGAGUGCAGGAGAGGAGAGCGGAAUUCCUGGUGUGCGGUGAAAUGCGUAGAUAUCAGGAAGAACACCAGUAGCGAAGGCGGCUCUCUGGACUGAAACUGACGCUGAGGCACGAAAGCGUGGGGAGCGAACA
rnacentral:rRNA from 1 species